rnacentral:rRNA from 1 species
CAGUCGCCACGGGAAUACGUAGGUGGCAAGCGUUGUCCGGAAUUAUUGGGCGUAAAGCGCGCGCAGGCGGAUAGGUCAGUCUGUCUUAAAAGUUCGGGGCUUAACCCCGUGAUGGGAUGGAAACUGCCAAUCUAGAGUAUCGGAGAGGAGAGUGGAAUUCCUAGUGUAGCGGUGAAAUGCGUAGAUAUUAGGAAGAACACCAGUGGCGAAGGCGACUUUCUGGACGAAAACUGACGCUGAGGCGCGAAAGCCAGGGGAGCGAACGGGAUUAGAUACCCGCGUAGUCCCUGUCUCUUAUACC